rnacentral:tRNA from 1 species
AGCAGAGUAGCCUAGUGGAUAAAGCAUGAGCCUGGGAGCCAGAGGAACUGGGUUCAAAUCCCCAGCUCUGCCA